rnacentral:sRNA from 1 species
ACCUCUUUCCCCCGCCUCCUCUCCUAGCCUCCCCAUCUCUCCUCUACCCCAAUCUUCUGCCCUCUCCUCUGCUUCCCCGGCCUCCCCCUUCUGACUCUCCUCUCCCCUCUUUGUAUCCCCCAUCUUGCCUCCCUGCUUCCCACAUCCGACCACCCGACCUCUCUCCUCAGACGUGGACGAAUGUCGCGAGCGAGGCCCAGCCCUGUGCGGGUCGCAGCGCUGUGAGAACUCUCCCGGCUCCUACCGCUGUGUCCGGGACUGCGAUCCUGGGUACCACGCGGGCCCCGAGGGCACCUGUGACGAUGUGAACGAGUGUGAAACACUACAGGGUGUAUGUGGAGCUGCCCUGUGUGAAAAUGUCGAAGGCUCCUUCCUCUGUGUCUGCCCCAACAGCCCGGAGGAGUUUGACCCCAUGACUGGACGCUGUGUUCCCCCACGAACUUCUGCUGACGUGGACGAAUGUCAGCUCUUCCGAGACCAGGUGUGCAAGAGUGGCGUGUGCGUGAACACGGCCCCGGGCUACUCAUGCUAUUGCAGCAACGGCUACUACUACCACACACAGCGGCUGGAGUGCAUCGAUAAUGACGAAUGCGCCGAUGAGGAACCGGCCUGUGAGGGCGGCCGCUGUGUCAACACUGUGGGCUCUUAUCACUGUACCUGCGAGCCCCCACUGGUGCUGGAUGGCUCGC